rnacentral:lncRNA from 1 species
AAUAAGUUCUGUGAAAUAUUUGAUGUCACCAUCAAUUAGCUAUGUAGCAGCUCAUUGCAUAGGAUGUUGAUAACUUCCACUCAAUCAUUCCUUUGAUUCCCCUAAAAAGUAAUUUGCUUAUUUCAAUGUUUUGUUUAUCCCGAACCAUCACAUAUAAGUUGAUAAUUAACACAAUUUCUUUUUUAAGAGAGGAUAAUUAUCACAAAUUAUGCUUCUGCAUACCUAUAUGCAUGCUUGUUUCUCUUUAAGACACAUAUGAUAAAAAUUUGUAAAAUUAUCAUCAAUAAGUUAAGCAGUUGAACCAGUGUGGAAGAAAUGUUCAGAUCAGCUCAACUGAUGUCAUGGUUGUUCCUCUUUUAUCAGUGCAUGUCAAUGUCUA